GACGAACGCUGGCGGCGUGCCUAAUACAUGCAAGUCGAGCGAGCUUGCCUAGAUGAAUUUGGUGCUUGCACCAAAUGAAACUAGAUACAAGCGAGCGGCGGACGGGUGAGUAACACGUGGGUAACCUGCCCAAGAGACUGGGAUAACACCUGGAAACAGAUGCUAAUACCGGAUAACAACACUAGACGCAUGUCUAGAGUUUAAAAGAUGGUUCUGCUAUCACUCUUGGAUGGACCUGCGGUGCAUUAGCUAGUUGGUAAGGUAACGGCUUACCAAGGCAAUGAUGCAUAGCCGAGUUGAGAGACUGAUCGGCCACAUUGGGACUGAGACACGGCCCAAACUCCUACGGGAGGCAGCAGUAGGGAAUCUUCCACAAUGGACGCAAGUCUGAUGGAGCAACGCCGCGUGAGUGAAGAAGGGUCUCGGCUCGUAAAGCUUUGUUGGUAGUGAAGAAAGAUAGAGGUAGUAACUGGCCUUUAUUUGACGGUAAUUACUUGGAAAGUCACGGCUAACUACGUGCCAGCAGCCGCGGUAAUACGUAGGUGGCAAGCGUUGUCCGGACUUAUUGGGCGUAAAGCGAGUGCAGGCGGUUCAAUAAGUCUGAUGUGAAAGCCUUCGGCUCAACCGGAGAAUUGCAUCAGAAACUGUUGAACUUGAGUGCAGAAGAGGAGAGUGGAACUCCAUGUGUAGCGGUGGAAUGCGUAGAUAUAUGGAAGAACACCAGUGGCGAAGGCGGCUCUCUGGUCUGCAACUGACGCUGAGGCUCGAAAGCAUGGGUAGCGAACAGG
rnacentral:rRNA from 1 species